rnacentral:tRNA from 16 species
CGCGGGGUGGAGCAGCUCGGUAGCUCGCUGGGCUCAUAACCCAGAGGUCGCAGGUUCAAAUCCUGUCCCCGCAACCA